rnacentral:rRNA from 1 species
AGAAUCAACGCUGGCGGCGUGCCUCAGACAUGCAAGUCGAACGCGAAAGCCCCCUUCGGGGGGCAAGUAGAGUGGCGCACGGGUGAGUAACACGUAGGUAAUCUACCUUCGGAUGGGGAAUAACAAUCGGAAACGGUUGCUAAUACCGCAUAAUGCAGCGGCACCUAAUGGUGACAGUUGUUAAAGCGGGGGAUCGAAAGACCUCGCGUCUGAAGAGGAGCCUGCGGCGGAUUAGCUAGUUGUAGGGUAACGGCUUACCAAGGCAACGAUCCGUA